AGACUCCCGUGGAUGACAUGCUGCAGACACCAGGACAGUCAACAGUACUCGGAGUCGUCUCUUCAUAUGGUAAGUACCCCUUUCAAGCCACCGCUGGACUACGAGGGACGGCGCGGGAGUACCGCCGUCGCGCGAAAAGUGCAACAAGGCAAGUGUCUGAGCAGUUCCUUGGCCAGGCGUUAGGCGCGGCUUGGUGUUAGGAUGUUUACUAACUCUUUCCCUUUCAGAGGCCCAUGGAACUAAUUCAUUCUCCAAAAAAAGUCUUUUCAGGAAUAUGUCCUUCCAGUAACUUUCAGAAAGGAGUUGGAAGCUUCUAAAACUGCAGCAGGAUUCACAAGCAUAUAUAGAUCCCUUCACUUGGAUACUUUCUUCAUCUGGGAUUAAUAGACAAAGGGACACAUUCAUGAAUCAGAUGAAAUAUGUUGAGUGAAGACCAGAUUCGUGGAGUGAAUUCUUCUCGUUAUUCACAGAAGAGUAAACAUAAGAUGCCAACACAACAUUGCCCGCCAGACGCACAGGAUG